UCCUAGCCAGCCUAACUAGCUGGCCUACUUAUCAUCAACAGGCCGAUAUAAACCAGCUGAUCCAGCAAGUUAAACAAAUUGCAUAUAUGCAAUGAAGAUGAUGAUGGAAAACAGCAGCGGGUCGGCGAUUCCGAGGAAGUGGGCAGUAGUAGGAAUGUUGCCGGGGCUUCUAUACAAUGCUCACCGACUGCACCAAUUUGUGACUGAUAUUCUGAAAGAGAGCGGAGGGACAUUUGAGUUUAAAGGACCUGUACGUGUCGGGUAACUUGGACAUGCUUAUUGUAUCUGCACGGUGCACUGUACGUGUGAACCCCUGAGACUGUUCCCACCUGUGGCCAUUGAGCAUAACCUGUCGGCAGGAAAGGACGUCCUCCCUAGUGGACAUCUGGUGAAGCCCAACACCAGAACCAUACUCUCAUUCUAUUCAUCAGGAAGGAUGGAGUCAAUAUGGGGGAAGAUUGCAUGGAGUUCGAUCAAGCCAGAGAGGUGGAUCUCAAGCAAAGGAAGAAUCAAGCACGAGCCUUGACGGAAGAUGAGGGCAGGUCAGAAGGAGGGAAAGUCAGUUGAGAGAAAGAAAGCUCUGUUUCAUUCUGGUAAGUUCUGUGUUGAAUACAAGAUAUGGAAGCAUACAAUAUAAAUGGUGAGACUAAGAACGGUUGCAACAGAAGCUAUGGAAAUUACAUAGGAGUCCCUCUAGUGUCUCUCUUUAUCUUCCAACAAGUUUCCCGCAUUCAACGCCGGACCUAGGACUUGUUUAGGUAAAGAAAUGGGUUUGGUUCAGAU